CAUUCCUCUGGACAGGUUUUGGUAAAUCUCCCCCUAUGUCACACUGUUUGCUGCACCAUAGAAAUAUGUCCAGCACUGAAAGGGUGCAUGUGAUUCCAGCUCUGGAGGGGGCAGGGACAAUUAAGGAUCCUUAAAUACAGCUGCUCCAGUGCAGCUCAGGUUACCUGCUGGAGAUGAGGACAGGUUUGUUCAAGCAGAUCUCCAAAUAUUUCCAGAAAAGCAAGCUGCCAUGGAAAAAUAAUUAUUCUCCCUUCUAUAGAAAGGAGUUCUGACUUGGGUUCCGGAGCGGGGCCGUAGUUACUAUUCGACCCUCUUCUUGUAUGCCUUCUUGCAUAAUAAAGGAUUGCUCUACAAAAUGGCGCAAAAAAGACACCUCAGUGGUUAUGCACGUCUUCCCAAUGCAACGAGAAUGCUUGGAAAAAAAAAAUGGCUUGAAGACAGCAGGAGGUUCACAUCUAAUUUGAAGAGAUGGUGCAAGAGGCAAGAGCCCGGGACCAGAUGGCUAUACAGCCAAGUUUUACAAGCUCCUCCGGUCAGAGCUGUCUUCUCCUCUUCUUUUUGCUUUCAACACUAUCCGACUCAUCCCCUUCAUCACAGUCUUUUCUACGUGCCUUUAUCACUGUGAUCUCAAAAGAGGGAAUCCAAUCUUGUGCCAGAGCUAUCGCCCUAUCGAGAGACUCUAUCUCUACCUCCAGGGUGAAUCACCGGAAAAGUACUAUUUAUGCUCUCUUUCUUGAUUCUCUCAGUACUGACCAUCUGCCCUUCUGGAUGGGUUGGGAGAGGGAACUAAACUGUAAGUUUAUGGAAGAGGAGUGGAACACAGCGGUUCUCAUGUGCCAUAACACAUCUAUAUCAUGUAAGGCUCAAGAAACGAACUACAAAGUUCUGACAAGAUGGUACAGAGUUCCGGCCCUAUUAUCCCGCUUUUACCCUGGUGUGCCGGAAGCUUAUUGGAGGUGUGGCGAGACGGGUGGUGGUACAAUGUCUUGUAUUUAGUUACAGUGUUCUUCACUGACCCCCUUCUGGAAUCAGAUUCUAGAUACUAUUCGUAAACUAACCUCAGUGUGACUUAGUGUAGCCCUGGCUCCUCCUCUAAAUGGAACGCCCGCCUGAUCAGAUUUAUGCUUCUUGCAGCCAGGUCAGUUAUUCCGAGACAGUGAAAAUCUGCCCCUUCCUUCUCCUCAUGGGUUCAGGAACUCUCGCAUGUACACUGAAUGAAGAAACUUAUUGCUGACUCCAGACAACAUUUGAUGAAACACCACAUGAUCUGGGGACCUUGGACCAAUUGUCUCUCCUCAGACGGUUACAGAUCCCUACAUUUAGUGUCUUGAUCCCCUCCUGAUUUCCCCCUUGCCUUUCUCGUGCAUGUUGCCCGACCUGUAGAACCAGCCUGCCCGCCUCCCUUGGCUCCCGCCUGUGUCCGCUGUCCUCCUGAGGUACGUACCCUUUCUGACUCUUCUCCCUUGUCCCUCCCUUCUGCCCCUCCUUCCCUCCUCGUUUCCCCCCUGUCUUUUCUACUCGCUCCCAGUCUUCUCAUUUCUUGUUUUUAUAUUUUUUUCUAUUGGUUACACACAUGCACCCUAUGCUCCCUUUAUUAAUGCCUGUUAUACAUGCGUGGCUUUUAUCCAAGAUAGGUUUACUGUGCUAUUAGUCAUGGUCGUAAAUGUUGGCACCCCUGAAAUUUUUCAAGAAAAGGCAGACAUUUUUCAAGAAAAGUAUUUCUCACAGAAAAGCAUUGCAGUAACACAUGUUUUGCUGUACACAUGUUUAUUCCCUUUGUGUGUAUUAGAACUAAACCAAAAAGAGGAAAAAAAGCAAAUCGGACAUAAUGUCACACUAAACUCCAAAAAUGAAGGGGGUGCCAACAUUUACGGCCAUGACGGUAUAUUCCUGUUAUCGUUUUGAUAUGUUACCUAUUUGUUUGUCACACACUUGGCCGCAUUUUAUUCGGGUGCUUUUUACCAUUCCCAUGUGCGGUCAUGUUCUACCUAUUUGUUACCUGACAUUUCAUGACUAAGACUGCUUUUGUCUUAUGCUUAUGCUUUCAUGAAAACUUUAAUACAUAUAUGCUAUUAAAAAAAAAAAGAAAUACAUAGAUUUAUUGUGAGACAGUCAGUAAGUACAUAUACUUGUACACUUGUUAUGUUAAAAUGCAGAUUAGGAUUUUUAUGUUCUUCCACACCUUGACACAUUUGACAGAUAUAUACUAUGUAAAUAUGUUUAUGUUCACUAUGUAUUCAAGUUUCAAUGGUCCACAACAGAUAAUUGUAACUUGUAAAUAU